UCCAUAAAAAAGAAAAAAAGGAUCGUAGAGACCAUUUUGAGCUGGUGUAACACACUCUUCAAGUUCUUCAACAAGGAAGGAGAGCUGAUGGAAAAAUUGCUCAAGUCUUUCUCUGCACUCAGGAUCUUGCUUCAACAAACAAGGAAAGUACUUUCUAUUUCUUUUUUUUUACAUACUUUUUAGUUAAUUUCUUAGUUUGUUUCUCAUUGCAUGUUCAUUUCCCUUUUAUUCUGAUUUUGAGUUUUUUUAUUUUUUUGGGUCUUUGUCAUUUCCUUUCUCAUUUUGCUCCUUUUCUCUUCAUUCCUCACCUCAUUCACAACCAUCUUUCACCCAUAAAAAAUUCAACAACCAUGAUUGUUUGUUCUUCUUUAAUCAAUGUCUAUGGUGUGGGAUUUACCGACGUUCCAACCAAUGAGAAGCACACAAGUUUCUCUCUCUUUCCAUUGAAUGUUUAACUUCAGCUUGUGUCAGAAACAAGUUGAAAUUCUUAUUUUUUUUCAAAUUCUUAUAUAUUUAUUAAAUAAUUAGUAAAAUUGAAUUUUAAUAAAUUAAAAAUAAUUAUAUAAUAGAUUAAAAAAACUACAAUAAAAUCUACAAUUGUUAUAAAUAAUGUCAUGUUCCACACCAUCGCCCUGGGAUACUUUUUGGUUUAUUUCGAUGCAACUGAGAAUUUAUUUGACGAUGAUUUCUUUCACGAUGAAUUACUUGAGGCUCAGUUUGGUCUCCAUCAUCGUUAUUUGUAGUUGAUUACAUUUGACAUUUAUGAGCCAACGUCAAUGACACAUCGUGUUCCCUUGUAGACCAUCCCACAUCUAGAAAU
rnacentral:lncRNA from 1 species